rnacentral:rRNA from 1 species
GUCUUAAUUGGGCGUUAAGUUGCAGGGUAUAGACCCGAAACCCGGUGAUCUAGCCAUGGGCAGGUUGAAGGUUGGGUAACACUAACUGGAGGACCGAACCGACUAAUGUUGAAAAAUUAGCGGAUGACCUGUGGCUGGGGGUGAAAGGCCAAUCAAACCGGGAGAUAGCUGGUUCUCCCCGAAAGCUAUUUAGGUAGCGCCUCGUGAAUUCAUCUCCGGGGGUAGAGCACUGUUUCGGCUAGGGGGCCAUCCCGGCUUACCAACCCGAUGCAAACUGCGAAUACCGGAGAAUGUUAUCACGGGAGACACACGGCGGGUGCUAACGUCCGUCGUGAAGAGGGAAACAACCCAGACCGCCAGCUAAGGUCCCAAAGUCAUGGUUAAGUGGGAAACGAUGUGGGAAGGCCCAGACAGCCAGGAUGUUGGCUUAGAAGCAGCCAUCAUUUAAAGAAAGCGUAAUAGCUCACUGGUCGAGUCGGCCUGCGCGGAAGAUGUAACGGGGCUAAACCAUGCACCGAAGCUGCGGCAGCGACACUGUGUGUUGUUGGGUAGGGGAGCGUUCUGUAAGCCUGUGAAGGUGUGUCGUGAGGCAUGCUGGAGGUAUCAGAAGUGCGAAUGCUGACAUAAGUAACGAUAAAGCGGGUGAAAAGCCCGCUCGCCGGAAGACCAAGGGUUCCUGUCCAACGUUAAUCGGGGCAGGGUGAGUCGACCCCUAAGGCGAGGCCGAAAGGCGUAGUCGAUGGGAAACGGGUUAAUAUUCCCGUACUUGGUGUUACUGCGAAGGGGGGACGGAGAAGGCUAUGUUGGCCGGGCGACGGUUGUCCCGGUUUAAGCGUGUAGGUGUGUGUUCCAGGUAAAUCCGGUUCACUUUAACACUGAGGCGUGACGACGAGGCACUACGGUGCUGAAGCAACAAAUGCCCUGCUUCCAGGAAAAGCCUCUAAGCAUCAGGUAACAUCAAAUCGUACCCCAAACCGACACAGGUGGUCAGGUAGAGAAUACCAAGGCGCUUGAGAGAACUCGGGUGAAGGAACUAGGCAAAAUGGUGCCGUAACUUCGGGAGAAGGCACGCUGACACGUAGGUGAAGUGAUUUACUCAUGGAGCUGAAGUCAGUCGAAGAUACCAGCUGGCUGCAACUGUUUAUUAAAAACACAGCACUGUGCAAACACGAAAGUGGACGUAUACGGUGUGACGCCUGCCCGGUGCCGGAAGGUUAAUUGAUGGGGUCAGCGCAAGCGAAGCUCCUGAUCGAAGCCCCGGUAAACGGCGGCCGUAACUAUAACGGUCCUAAGGUAGCGAAAUUCCUUGUCGGGUAAGUUCCGACCUGCACGAAUGGCGUAAUGAUGGCCAGGCUGUCUCCACCCGAGACUCAGUGAAAUUGAACUCGCUGUGAAGAUGCAGUGUACCCGCGGCAAGACGGAAAGACCCCGUGAACCUUUACUAUAGCUUGACACUGAACAUUGAGCCUUGAUGUGUAGGAUAGGUGGGAGGCUUUGAAGUGUGGACGCCAGUCUGCAUGGAGCCGACCUUGAAAUACCACCCUUUAAUGUUUGAUGUUCUAACGUGGACCCGUUACCCGGGUUGCGGACAGUGUCUGGUGGGUAGUUUGACUGGGGCGGUCUCCUCCUAAAGAGUAACGGAGGAGCACGAAGGUUGGCUAAUCCUGGUCGGACAUCAGGAGGUUAGUGCAAUGGCAUAAGCCAGCUUGACUGCGAGCGUGACGGCGCGAGCAGGUGCGAAAGCAGGUCAUAGUGAUCCGGUGGUUCUGAAUGGAAGGGCCAUCGCUCAACGGAUAAAAGGUACUCCGGGGAUAACAGGCUGAUACCGCCCAAGAGUUCAUAUCGACGGCGGUGUUUGGCACCUCGAUGUCGGCUCAUCACAUCCUGGGGCUGAAGUAGGUCCCAAGGGUAUGGCUGUUCGCCAUUUAAAGUGGUACGCGAGCUGGGUUUAGAACGUCGUGAGACAGUUCGGUCCCUAUCUGCCGUGGGCGCUGGAGAACUGAGGGGGGCUGCUCCUAGUACGAGAGGACCGGAGUGGACGCAUCACUGGUGUUCGGGUUGUCAUGCCAAUGGCACUGCCCGGUAGCUAAAUGCGGAAGAGAUAAGUGCUGAAAGCAUCUAAGCACGAAACUUGCCCCGA